CGCGUAGGCGGCGAUCCAAGUUAGGCGUGAAAGCCCCGGGCUCAACCUGGGAAUUGCGCUUAAGACUGGAUUGCUCGAGUGCGGGAGAGGUGAGUGGAAUUCCCAGUGUAGAGGUGAAAUUCGUAGAUAUUGGGAAGAACACCAGUGGCGAAGGCGGCUCACUGGCCCGCAACUGACGCUGAGGCGCGAAAGCGUGGGGAGCAAACAGGAUUAGAUACCCUGGUAGUCCACGCCGUAAACGAUGAGUGCUAGACGUUGGGGGACUCAGUCCCUUGGUGUCGCAGCUAACGCAUGAAGCACUCCGCCUGGGGAGUACGGCCGCAAGGUUAAA
rnacentral:rRNA from 1 species